GCCCUGGUUGCACAAUUGGUUAGUGCGUUGGACUUUUACGAACACUCUUCGAAAUAGCCAUCCAAAGGUUGCGGGUUCGAGUCCCGCCUGGGGCG
rnacentral:tRNA from 1 species